rnacentral:tRNA from 1 species
GCGCGGAUGGCGGAAUUGGUAGACGCCCUGGAUUUAGGUUCCAGUGGGGCAACCCGUGGGGGUUCGAGUCCCCCUCCGCGCACCA